UCCUUCGCCCAGCCGCUCAUUUGGGAUCCAGCUGCAGUCCUCGCCGCCACCUUCUCCUUCUCCCAGCUGGCCGCCCCCUUUCUUUGCAGCUUGACAUAAAGAUUAGCAUGUGUGUGUGUCCUGCAGCUCGAGAGGGACAAAAUAGGAGGUCACCAUGAAAUGUCGAAAGAGAAAGAGAGGCCGUAAGAGUGGAUCAUUCAUUUGUCAUUGGUUUCUCAUCACUUAUCCAAUACUUUCUUUGUUGCUAUCUUCUGAUGAUAUACUGACUUGCAAUAUCUAUAUUCUCAAUAUGUAAAUACGCAAGGGAGUGGAUACCAGUAUAUUACUCUUUCCGUCCAUAUAAUCAGAUGGUUGUCUGUCAAUUUUAUAAAAUUCUUUGGAUUUGCUCAAUAUGUGUCAUGUACCUAGGACCAUUCACUCCAAUGUGGUAUGAGAACAUUUAUUUUCUAAUUGUUCUUGGUUUGAUGUCAAGGCGUACUCAUUCUUGAAAUCUAUGUGGCUUUUUCAGAAACACUAUGUUCCAAGAAGUUUAUUCAAGAGAGCUGGGCAUAUAGGUCCGUCAUGACUGGCAAUGCCCUACAGGACGGCUUGGUUGAUGCAAUCCGUGUAUCCCUCACGGAUCCACUUGGAACUCAUGCUGCAGACCAUCAAUUAGGUGUGGAUAACCAUACUCAAGUCUGGUAGUGCGAUGGCUCCUGUAGAACUAAUCUCUGCACAAUUUGUUUCAAUGAGCACCCAGACCGCCCUGAUUGACCAGGCUCAAGGCAUGCCGUCGGCUCCUGUGCCCUCCUACUCCGACACCGCAGUGGGCGCGUCAAUGGCUGGAGCAGAGGAGGAGAUCCAGGCGGAGCGCGCCAUCUCCAUCGUCGUAUCUGUUGCUGCGUCCCUCGAUCUAUAUGUGUUCUUUUCCUGACCAUCCCAGUUGUGGUUGCCUGGAGCUCAUCCUUGAUUUGCUCUUUUUCCCUUGCAGGUUGGUCAGCUGCGGGUGCUGGUGCUUCUGGUCGAUUUGUCCUGCUGCGUCGGCCAUUGUUCUGUAGCUUGCAUCUGCAGUACAUUAUCAAAGAAACUGAAUCUGGAAGGUUAAGACAUUAGACAUCUAUUGAGAGUUAAUGAAAUUUAACACCUGAAGACUGCUGCCCAUACAACGAUGAAGAUGCCAUCUCCAACUAGAACAGUAUCAGCCUACUUGGACAUCGACUGGUCGCCAGUUGAACCAGCAACCAGCAGCCGACAUCAGCGAUUCAGCCGACAUCAAAUAUAUACCAAAUCAAAUCAAACACUACAAAGAUAUAUUUGAUUUGUAUGCCCUAUAUUAAACUCAGCUGUCCUGGGCAGCAUCUAUCUCUUGCUCUUGAUAUAUCUUUGUAGUGUUUGUGAUAUAUAUUGAACACAUUUAU